rnacentral:lncRNA from 10 species
UUCAGCUAGAACAGUGACUCCUGAGAUGUACUCUGCUCAGGUGUUUCCAAACUUGGUGACCACAGUCCCUCUCAUCCUGCAUGCUCCUCCACCUUCUGACUUUGCAGCUCCUCCUAUAAGGAUGUGGAAUCUCUUUCCCCUCCCCUUGGGUCUGGGCCUCCUUGUGACUUCCUUUGGCCAGUAGAAGGCAGUGGGGGUGAAGCUAUAUGAUUUCUGAGACUAGGCCUUAAGAGGCCUUGCAGCUUCUUUUGCUCUCUUAGAAGUCAGCCAUGGUGUAAAGCAGUCCAGGCUCUCCUACUGUAGAGGCCAUGUGGAGACAGAAACCCUGGAGGAUGGGAAGCCAUGUGGAGGGGAAUAAGCCAGUGAAGCCCUCUCUCACUCCACCCUCGUCAAGCUCCCAGCUAAAUGCAGCCACAUGAAUGACCUCACCUGCUUUGUGGAGCAGAAGAACCACCCAGGCACAAUCCAGACAAGACAUCCCAGCACUGCUUCCAGACCUCUGCUUGAAGGUGGGAUUCUUCAAUCUCCUGGACAUUCUUAGAGUCUGGCUUUACACCACGUCUCCUUUGCACGAUGGCAACACCAGCAGUAUCUGCCCAUGUGCAAGAGAGCCUCUGCAACAGCCCAAUGGAGAAAUGGAGGAGUUUCCAGGCCCACGUGACACUGAAUCACAAUUGUCUUUUACCGCUUGGGAUGAUGAUGCCAUCACUUUUCUCUAAUUUUUUUUUUUUUUUUUGAGGCAGCCUCACUGUCACCCAGGCUGGAGUGUAGUGGCGUGAUCUUGGCUUACUGAAACCUCCACCUCCCGGGUUCAAGUGAUUCUCCUGCCUCAGCCUCCUGAGUAGCUGGGAUUAUGCCUACUAUAUCUCCAGCCUACAGGUGUGCGCCACCACGCCCAGCUAAUUUUUAUAUUUUCAGUAGAGACAGGGUUUCACCAAGUUGGCCAGGCUGGUCUUGAACUCCUGGCCUCAAGUGAUCCGCCUGCCUUGGCCUCCCAAAGUGCUUGGAUUACAGGCGUGAGCCACUGUGCUCGGCCACUUUCCUCUGAUUUUUAAGUGAAGUAUAUACAUACAUACAUACACAGCAGGCAAGUGGAAUUCCAAGCACAGAGGGCUUUUCAGCAUAAUUCUGAGAAGGCAACUUUGAGCAAAUAACUUGCAGACAUUAUACAAUUCUUUCUUGUUAAAGUCAAGGCAAGCUUUUCUGGGAAGGGGCAUGAAGACCUUGACAUAGUCUGCUUAGUUUUAUUUAUUUAUUUAUUUAUUUAUUUAUUUAGAGACGGAAUCUCGUUCUGUCACCCAGGCUGGAGUGCAGUAGCGCGAUCUCAGCUCACUGCAACCUCCGCCUCCCCGGUUCCAGGUUCAAGGAAUUCUCCAGCCUCAGCCUCCCGAGUAGCUGGGAUUACAGGCCAUAGUCUGCUUUAAAAAUAAUAAUAAUAAUAAUAAAAGACAACAGUGAAGAAGAAAGAAAGAAUGAUUCCCUCUUCGCACAAGAA